AGACCCGAAACCCGGUGAUCUAGCCAUGGGCAGGUUGAAGGUUGGGUAACACUAACUGGAGGACCGAACCGACUAAUGUUGAAAAAUUAGCGGAUGACCUGUGGCUGGGGGUGAAAGGCCAAUCAAACCGGGAGAUAGCUGGUUCUCCCCGAAAGCUAUUUAGGUAGCGCCUCGUGAAUUCAUCUCCGGGGGUAGAGCACUGUUUCGGCUAGGGGGCCAUCCCGGCUUACCAACCCGAUGCAAACUGCGAAUACCGGAGAAUGUUAUCACGGGAGACACACGGCGGGUGCUAACGUCCGUCGUGAAGAGGGAAACAACCCAGACCGCCAGCUAAGGUCCCAAAGUCAUGGUUAAGUGGGAAACGAUGUGGGAAGGCCCAGACAGCCAGGAUGUUGGCUUAGAAGCAGCCAUCAUUUAAAGAAAGCGUAAUAGCUCACUGGUCGAGUCGGCCUGCGCGGAAGAUGUAACGGGGCUAAACCAUGCACCGAAGCUGCGGCAGCGACACUGUGUGUUGUUGGGUAGGGGAGCGUUCUGUAAGCCUGCGAAGGUGGCCUGUGAGGGUUGCUGGAGGUAUCAGAAGUGCGAAUGCUGACAUAAGUAACGAUAAAGCGGGUGAAAAGCCCGCUCGCCGGAAGACCAAGGGUUCCUGUCCAACGUUAAUCGGGGCAGGGUGAGUCGACCCCUAAGGCGAGGCCGAAAGGCGUAGUCGAUGGGAAACGGGUUAAUAUUCCCGUACUUGGUGUUACUGCGAAGGGGGGACGGAGAAGGCUAUGUUGGCCGGGCGACGGUUGUCCCGGUUUAAGCGUGUAGGUGUGUGUUCCAGGUAAAUCCGGUUCACUUUAACACUGAGGCGUGACGACGAGGCACUACGGUGCUGAAGCAACAAAUGCCCUGCUUCCAGGAAAAGCCUCUAAGCAUCAGGUAACAUCAAAUCGUACCCCAAACCGACACAGGUGGUCAGGUAGAGAAUACCAAGGCGCUUGAGAGAACUCGGGUGAAGGAACUAGGCAAAAUGGUGCCGUAACUUCGGGAGAAGGCACGCUGACACGUAGGUGAAGUGAUUUACUCAUGGAGCUGAAGUCAGUCGAAGAUACCAGCUGGCUGCAACUGUUUAUUAAAAACACAGCACUGUGCAAACACGAAAGUGGACGUAUACGGUGUGACGCCUGCCCGGUGCCGGAAGGUUAAUUGAUGGGGUCAGCGCAAGCGAAGCUCCUGAUCGAAGCCCCGGUAAACGGCGGCCGUAACUAUAACGGUCCUAAGGUAGCGAAAUUCCUUGUCGGGUAAGUUCCGACCUGCACGAAUGGCGUAAUGAUGGCCAGGCUGUCUCCACCCGAGACUCAGUGAAAUUGAACUCGCUGUGAAGAUGCAGUGUACCCGCGGCAAGACGGAAAGACCCCGUGAACCUUUACUAUAGCUUGACACUGAACAUUGAGCCUUGAUGUGUAGGAUAGGUGGGAGGCUUUGAAGUGUGGACGCCAGUCUGCAUGGAGCCGACCUUGAAAUACCACCCUUUAAUGUUUGAUGUUCUAACGUGGACCCGUUACCCGGGUUGCGGACAGUGUCUGGUGGGUAGUUUGACUGGGGCGGUCUCCUCCUAAAGAGUAACGGAGGAGCACGAAGGUUGGCUAAUCCUGGUCGGACAUCAGGAGGUUAGUGCAAUGGCAUAAGCCAGCUUGACUGCGAGCGUGACGGCGCGAGCAGGUGCGAAAGCAGGUCAUAGUGAUCCGGUGGUUCUGAAUGGAAGGGCCAUCGCUCAACGGAUAAAAGGUACUCCGGGGAUAACAGGCUGAUACCGCCCAAGAGUUCAUAUCGACGGCGGUGUUUGGCACCUCGAUGUCGGCUCAUCACAUCCUGGGGCUGAAGUAGGUCCCAAGGGUAUGGCUGUUCGCCAUUUAAAGUGGUACGCGAGCUGGGUUUAGAACGUCGUGAGACAGUUCGGUCCCUAUCUGCCGUGGGCGCUGGAGAACUGAGGGGGGCUGCUCCUAGUACGAGAGGACCGGAGUGGACGCAUCACUGGUGUUCGGGUUGUCAUGCCAAUGGCACUGCCCGGUAGCUAAAUGCGGAAGAGAUAAGUGCUGAAAGCAUCUAAGCACGAAACUUGCCCCGAGAUGAGUUCUCCCUGAGACUUAAAGUCUCCUGAAGGAACGUUGAAGACGACGACGUUGAUAGGCCGGGUGUGUAAGCGCA
rnacentral:rRNA from 2 species